UACCAACCUGCAACACAUUUUUUUAACCUCCCAAUCUUAUAGCUUAAGAACAUCAGUGGACAAGUUUGGUGUUGCUUACUGUUUCUUCUGCGCAGUAAAGGUUUGUGGCAAUUAUGCCUACUGGUCCUCUUUUGAGCCAUCCACAUACGUACAAGCCUGGCUCUGUACUAACCACUCGACCUCUUACAUUCGGGACAAUACCUUGAAACAAGACGCAAAAAUCAGAAGAACAUAUCGUUUUUUUCCUUUCUCAUAGACAUUAAUCGCACAAAAACUUUCAUAUUAGACCCACCUUUCUUGUGAUCAAAGGGUAAACCGUUGAUUGGAACCGACUGGUAACCAAUGGCUUUCAACACCAUACUGCAAAAACCGAGCAUGCUUUCAUUCAAAUUUGUUCACUGAGAAUCUUUCAUCAAAAAUGAUCUUUUACUACCUGCAGUUAAUAUCUUCAAACUCUCCUGUACCAACUGCAAUUUGCUUUCCGCUUCCAACACCUACAGGUUCAACUUGAGGUGCACUUACUUUCAAGAAUGGUUUUCUCCAAGUUUACACCAGAAACACGACCCUUGCUUUCAUCUGACUCUAAGAACCGCUCAGGCUGGCGGAAGAAAACAAAGUGAAGCUCUCGUUGACCACAGUCUCCUUCGAAUGUUCCUGCUGCUGCUGCAGCCUUUGACAGUAAUUCAUAGAUCCUCUUCCUGGCUCUACUGUUUUUCAUUUCUUCCUUUGUACCACAAAGGGAUUUGUCAUUCAUGAGAAGCAAAGACGACAAAACAAAUGCAGGAUCAAACAAAUUUUUGUGGAAUGCCAAUGACAGUAGCCAUAAAAGUUAUAUUACAAUCUCUCUAAAAUGCAAAAAAAGACAGUUGAAAAUCGGUAACACAAGUACCUCAUCAGCAGGAGUUACACUCAAGUCAGUUUCCUUUAUUCGAAUGUGUAAAUUCUUAAUCCCUGCAUUAUAAAGAUAUGCAUCAAUAGUGACAUACUCUAAAUGGGAAAAUAACAAACGUCAAUGAGCAACAAAAAAACGUUAAAAGAUCAUAAAGAGAAGACAAGCUAAGGUCUGAUUCUAUCCUAAAAUGUAAUUUUGAUGCAACUUGGAGACACGCUCGCAAAAGUAGUAGCAGCACACAAACCAUACCA